rfam:Rhodosporidium toruloides NP11 unplaced genomic scaffold Scaffold1, whole genome shotgun sequence.
GUCUUCGUAGCUCAGUUGGUUAGAGCGUCUGACUGUUACUACAAGUCAGCCUUGUGCACUGCACAUCAGGAGGUCGACAGUUCGAACCUGUCCGAGGACG